GACGUAGGGCGCGAGCGUUGUCCGGAUUUAUUGGGCGUAAAGAGCUCGUAGGCGGCUUGUCGCGUCGUCCGUGAAAACCCACAGCUCAACUGUGGGCUUGCGGUCGAUACGGGCAGGCUAGAGUUCGGUAGGGGGAGACUGGAAUUCCUGGUGUAGCGGUGAAAUGCGCAGAUAUCAGGAGGAACACCGAUGGCGAAGGCAGGUCUCUGGGCCAUAACUGACGCUGAGAAGCGAAAGCAUGGGGGAGCGAACAGG
rnacentral:rRNA from 1 species